rnacentral:rRNA from 1 species
GGUCUUUUGUUUAUAUAAAAGAUUUGGCCUGCUCAGUGAUUUUUUAAAUAGCUGCAGUAUUUUGACUGUACAAAGGUAGCAUAAUCAUUUGUCUUUUAAUUGAGGUCUGGAAUGAAUGGUUUGAUGAAAAAUAUACUUUAUUUAUUUUUGAUAAAAAAUUUAAUUUUUAAGUUAAAAAGCUUUGAAAUUUUUUUAUAGGACGAGAAGACCCUAUAGAGCUUUAUUUAUAUAUUUUUAUAUUUUUGUGGAUUAUAUAUUUUUAAUGAAAAUAUAUAAAUUUUGUUGGGGUGACAAAAAAAAUAUUAUAACUUUUUUUAAUUUUUACAUUAAUGGAUGUAUUUUUGAUCCUUUAUUUUGGAAAAAAGAAUAAGCUACCUUAGGGAUAACAGCGUUAUUAUUUCGGAGAGUUCAUAUUGAUGGAAUAGUUUGCGACCUCGAUGUUGGAUUAAAAUAAGAUAUGGAUGUAGAAUGUUAUAUUCUUGGUCUGUUCGACCUUUAAAUUUUUACAU